CACGUAGGGUGCGAGCGUUGUCCGGAAUUAUUGGGCGUAAAGAGUUCGUAGGUGGUUCGUUAAGUCUGAUGUUAAAGACCGAGGCUCAACUUCGGGACUGCAUUGGAUACUGGCGGACUUGAGUGUGGUAGAGGCAAUCGGAAUUCCAGGUGUAGCGGUGAAAUGCGUAGAUAUCUGGAAGAACACCGGUGGCGCAAGCGGAUUGCUGGGCCAUAACUGACACUGAGGAACGAAAGCUAGGGGAGCGAAUGGG
rnacentral:rRNA from 1 species